AUACGGAGGAUCCGCGCGUUAUCCGCAUUUAUUGGGUUUCAAGGGUUCGCAGAGAGCGAUUUACGUCGGGGAUUAAAAGAGGGGGUAUCUCCCAAUCCGCCGUUUGAUUCUGGGUGGUUUGUUUGAGGUUGGGGUGGCGGGAAUUGUUGGGUUGGCGGGUAAAUGCAUAGAUAUGACGAAGAACACCGAUUGCGUAGGCAGCUGACCAGACCGCAAAUGACGCUCAUGCACGAAAGUGCGGGGAUCGAACAGGAUUAGAUACCCUGGUAGUCCGCACAGUAAACGAUGAAUACUUGUUUUCGGCGAUAUAAUGUCGGAGGCAAAGCGAAAGCGAUAAGUAUUCCACCUGGGGAGUACGCCGGCAACGGUGAAACUCAAAGGAAUUGACGGGG
rnacentral:rRNA from 1 species